GGUUUUCCUAUUCGUCAAGCUAUACAAGGUCUCUAUUUUGAGUUGUUGCAGCAUGAGAUCAAGUGUCUUGUCUCUACGUGCUGGAUCUGAAGGCCGGAUUAAGGAGGUGCCCAUGCUGUGUAGGAACUUGGAGAGCAUUCAGGGAUAUGAGGAGUGUCGGGUGCCCUUUUGAAUCUCAUUGGUGUUGAAUGUUAUGGGUGAUGGCAG